AUCAAUAAGCGGAGGAAAAGAAACUAACAAGGAUUCCCCUAGUAACGGCGAGUGAAGCGGGAAGAGCUCAAAUUUGAAAUCUGGUAGCCUUCGGUUGCCCGAGUUGUAAUCUAGAGAAGUGUUUUCCGUGCCGGCCCAUGUACAAGUCCCUUGGAACAGGGCGUCAUAGAGGGUGAGAAUCCCGUCCUUGACAUGGACCCCCGGUGCUUUGUGAUACACUUUCAACGAGUCGAGUUGUUUGGGAAUGCAGCUCAAAAUGGGUGGUGAAUUCCAUCUAAAGCUAAAUAUUGGCGAGAGACCGAUAGCGAACAAGUACCGUGAGGGAAAGAUGAAAAGCACUUUGGAAAGAGAGUUAAACAGUACGUGAAAUUGUUGAAAGGGAAACGAUUGAAGUCAGUCAUGCUCUUGGGACUUACCUCCCUUGAGUGGGGUCAACAUCAGUUUUGAUCGAUGGAUAAAGGCACGGGGAAGGUAGCACUCUCGGGUGAACUUAUAGCCUCGCGUCAUAUACAUUGAUUGGGACUGAGGAACGCAGCAUGCCUUAUGGCCGGGAUUCGUCCACGUACAUGCUUAGGAUGUUGACAUAAU
rnacentral:rRNA from 1 species